AGCGAACGCUGGCGGCAGGCCUAACACAUGCAAGUCGAUCGAAGUCUUCGGACUUAGUGGCGGACGGGUGAGUAACACGUGGGAACGUGCCUUUAGGUACGGAAUAACUCAGGGAAACUUGUGCUAAUACCGAAUGUGCCCUUCGGGGGAAAGAUUUAUCGCCUUUAGAGCGGCCCGCGUCUGAUUAGCUAGUUGGUGAGGUAAAGGCUCACCAAGGCGACGAUCAGUAGCUGGUCUGAGAGGAUGAUCAGCCACAUUGGGACUGAGACACGGCCCAAACUCCUACGGGAGGCAGCAGUGGGGAAUCUUGCGCAAUGGGCGAAAGCCUGACGCAGCCAUGCCGCGUGAAUGAUGAAGGUCUUAGGAUUGUAAAGCUCUUUUACCCGGGAUGAUAAUGACAGUACCGGGAGAAUAAGCUCCGGCUAACUCCGUGCCAGCAGCCGCCGUAAUAC
rnacentral:rRNA from 1 species